rnacentral:lncRNA from 1 species
UGUCAUUGGCCUCUUGGAUUAGAAAACCAGGUCAUCUGUCUCGGGGCGAUGAGAUGACCCAGAAGGGACUAUUUCCCCCGGUCCUUCCGGCUGAAUUUUGAAGGUCUUUGUCAGUUUGAGUGUUGCUGGGUGGACCGUCUCGGUUAACCUUACAUUCUCAGUUUGUCUCCUCUCUCCUCUCCUUGUCCACUGGGUCUCCCGCUCCCGGUUUCUGUGUGCUAGCACCACAGACAGCUCCCAGGGCGCCGGGUGGAGCUAGGUAACCUGGGCUGGCGGGUUCCGGGUAAAAGCCUAGGCGGCCGCAGCGGAGGCGUCUAGGAAGGGUCGGCGGCGCCCGGGGGGAGGUAAGCAAAGUGAUUACAAAGCAACCUCCCCGGCAGCGUUUCCUGAUUAGCUCUAAGUCCAAACAGGGUCACAUUCCAAAGAACAAAAUCUUCAGAUCAAUAAAGUAAUUCAAAAACCCAAAGAUCUCGGGGUAAGUAGUGCUCAGUGACAGAUCAACUGUGAAUCGUCCCUAUUUAAUAAGUUCUUAGUGGAAGCCGAGGAGGGAGGAGCCGGGCCUCAGGUCUGCGGCUCCAAGACCUUGCGCCGCGGCUGCGACGAGGUGGCCGGCGGAACCCUUCUAACUGGCACAUACUUC